rnacentral:antisense_RNA from 1 species
ACACGAGGCCUCCACUGCGGUUGCGCAGCCUGCCGAAGAGCGUGCGGCUUCUACUGCGGCUGCGCAAGCUCGACGCGCGCACUCUUGUCUGCUUACGAGGGCUCCUCCCUUCAGCUUUGGUCCCUCGGGGCGUCUGGGCAGCCUACGCUUUCCGUAAACACUGGGAUGCCGGAGCUCAGGCAUCCCAGACAGGAGGAAGUGUGUACUCACACCAGCCAGGAGGAAACAAGCCUGCCUGGGAGGACAGACGAUCAGCCCUGGCUGUCCCUCAGGAGCGGGGGUCCUCCAAGGCACACUGCCCACUGGGUCAAGGAGUGUCCAGGAGGAGUUAGAAGCAUGACCCAUCUGCCUGGCACCAGCACCUGGGGCUGCCAGGCAGCCACCCCUGCAGCUGUGUUGACAGGGCCUGGCAGAGGGACUGACCCACCUUUGGAAAAUGACACCAGCAAUAUCAGGAUGUGUCAACUGGAUUUAUGUUAAGAAAAUAGGAUUUUUGGUGUUCCUCUGUUUCCCAAAGUUUGAGACACUUUCAGACACUCUGCUUUGCGGUUGUGGC